UACGAAGGGUGCAAGCGUUACUCGGAAUUACUGGGCGUAAAGCGUGCGUAGGUGGUGAGUUAAGUCUGUCGUGAAAGCCCCGGGCUCAACCUGGGAAUGGCGAUGGAUACUGGCUCGCUAGAGUGCGGUAGAGGAGAGUGGAAUUCCCGGUGUAGCAGUGAAAUGCGUAGAGAUCGGGAGGAACACCAGUGGCGAAGGCGGCUUGCUGGGCCGGACCUGACGCUGAGACGCGAAGGCGUGGGGAGCGAACGGG
rnacentral:rRNA from 1 species